AUUGAACGCUGGCGGCAGGCCUAACACAUGCAAGUCGAGCGGAUGAAGGGAGCUUGCUCCUGGAUUCAGCGGCGGACGGGGGAGUAAUGCCUAGGAAUCUGCCUGCUAGUGGGGGAUAACGUCCGGAAACGGGCGCUGAUACCGCAUACGUCCUGAGGGAGAAAGUGGGGGAGCUGCGGACCUGACGCUAUGAGGUGGGCGGAGGGCGGAUUAGCUAGUUGGUGGGGUAGGGGCCUACCAAGGCGACGAUGGGUAGGCGGCCUGAGAGGAGGAUCGGUCACAUUGGGACUGAGAGACGGCCCAGACGGCUACGGGAGGCAGCAGGGGGGAAUAUUGCACAAUGGGCGGAAGCCUGAUGCAGCAACGCCGGGUGCGGGAUGACGGCCUUCGGGUUGGAAACCGCUUUCGCCUGUGACGAAGCGUGAGUGACGGUAAUGGGUAAAGAAGCACCGGCUAACUACGUG
rnacentral:rRNA from 1 species